AAAAGUUUAAAGUGCAUAGAGAGUGCAAUAAAAAGAGGAUUGGUACGGUAAGGUAGCCAAAAAACUUUUAUUCCAUUCUGAAGAAGCCACUUAUGGUGAAACGCGUUUAUGGUUAUUUACUCUUGUACUGUGUAUUUUAGAACAAUAAAAGUUUUUGGGCUACCUUACCGUACCAAUCCUCUUUUUAUUGCACUCUCUAUGCACUUUAAACUUUUU